AAUAUGCGAUAAGUAAUAUGAAUUGCAGAACCCUGUGAAUCAUCGAAAUUUCGAACGUCGCUCACCCGAGGCAAACAGCCUCGGGUACAUCUGGUCGAGUGGCGCUUUUAUCUCUUGACCAUCCGCAAAAAUUUUUUUUUGUGGGUUUGGGCAAUUGCAUGCGGCUUGUUGGUUUUCCAACUUCCGUUAAAUUUUUUCACGUUUGCUUUGGACGAGCGCGUAUUUGUGUUCUUAGAGAUCGUAGUCCGAUUGCGCUCGUGGGGCAUUUUGUGACUUUUUCCAAGUGGAAGCAUGCGCUUCUUAAAAAAUUUCGCCCUCGUCUCAGGUGAGACUACCCGCUGAACUUAA
rnacentral:misc_RNA from 1 species